AUUGAACGCUGGCGGCAUGCUUUACACAUGCAAGUCGAACGGUAACAGGUUAAGCUGACGAGUGGCGAACGGGUGAGUAAUGCAUCGGAACGUGCCCGAUCGUGGGGGAUAACACUUCGUAAGAAGUGCUAAUACCGCAUACGAUCUGAGGAUGAAAGCGGGGGACCGUAAGGCCUCGCGCGAUCGGAGCGGCCGAUGUCAGAUUAGGUAGUUGGUGGGGUAAAGGCUCACCAAGCCGACGAUCUGUAGCUGGUCUGAGAGGACGACCAGCCACACUGGGACUGAGACACGGCCCAGACUCCUACGGGAGGCAGCAGUGGGGAAUUUUGGACAAUGGGUGCAAGCCUGAUCCAGCAAUGCCGCGUGCAGGAAGAAGGCCUUCGGGUUGUAAACUGCUUUUGUACGGAGCGAAAAGGCUCCCUCUAAUACAGGGGGCUCAUGACGGUACCGUAAGAAUAAGCACCGGCUAACUACGUGCCAGCCGCCGCAGUAA
rnacentral:rRNA from 1 species